GGAGAGAGAGGGAAGGAGGAGCGGAUAAUUAAGGAGGCGGGGGAGAGAGGAAGAUAGGAGGGUGGUGGAGAGAGGAUAAGGUUGGGAGCUCCUGUAGUACCGGUUGGGAGCUGCAACCAGUACUAAAGGUUACCCAUUAGUACCGGGUGGAGCCUCCUCUUGGUACUAAUCUGCCUAUACCGGGUGAAGCCUCUAGCCGAUACUAAUGUGUGACCUUUAGGACCUGUU
rnacentral:lncRNA from 1 species